rnacentral:rRNA from 1 species
GUGUUUAACGGCCGCGGUAUUUUAACCGCGCGAAGGUAGCGUAAUCACCUGUCUUUUAAAUGGAGACCUGUAUGAAUGGCAUAACGAAGGUUUAACUGUCUCCUCUCCCCGGUCAAUGAAAUUGAUCUGCCCGUGCAGAAGCGGGCCCAACAACAUAAGACGAGAAGACCCUAUGGAGCUUUAGGCAUACACCCAAGCGCCCCAAGCCCCUCCAACACAACACGCAAGGAGAGUGGAAAGCGAACGCCCCUGGAUGAGUGAGCCUUCGGUUGGGGCGACCGUGGAGGAAAAAAAAGCCUCCAAGAAGAACAAGGAAAACCCUUAAGUCAAGAGAGACAUCUCUAAGCAACAGAAACUCUGACUACGUGUGACCCAGUAACUAACUGAUCAACGAACCAAGUUACCCUAGGGAUAACAGCGCAAUCCUUUCCCAGAGUCCAUAUCGACGAAAGGGCUUACGACCUCGAUGUUGGAUCAGGGCAUCCUAAUGGUGCAGCAGCUAUUAAGGGUUCGUUUGUUCAACGAU